rnacentral:rRNA from 1 species
CCUACGGGAGGCUGCAGUGGGGAAUAUUGCACAAUGGGCGCAAGCCUGAUGCAGCCAUGCCGCGUGUGUGAAGAAGGCCUUCGGGUUGUAAAGCACUUUCAGCGGGGAGGAAGGCGUUAAGGUUAAUAACCUUGGCGAUUGACGUUACCCGCAGAAGAAGCACCGGCUAACUCCGUGCCAGCAGCCGCGGUAAUACGGAGGGUGCAAGCGUUAAUCGGAAUUACUGGGCGUAAAGCGCACGCAGGCGGUCUGUCAAGUCGGAUGUGAAAUCCCCGGGCUCAACCUGGGAACUGCAUUCGAAACUGGCAGGCUAGAGUCUUGUAGAGCGGGGUAGAAUUCCAGGUGUAGCGGUGAAAUGCGUAGAGAUCUGGAGGAAUACCGGUGGCGAAGGCGGCCCCCUGGACAAAGACUGACGCUCAGGUGCGAAAGCGUGGGGAGCAAACAGGAUUAGAUACCCCAGUAGUC